AGGGGCGAGUGCGCGCGCGCGCUGUAAUGUGCGACCGCCGGGCCUCGGCUCCCUUCCAGAUAACCAGAAACUCCACUUUGGGUUUUCAGAUAGCUAGAAACCCAGUAGCCAAGCUAAGCAUUAAUGCUUUCCGAAGCGGCUGCACAUGCGCAGUGGUGUGCAGCUGUGGGUCGAGGCUCCGGUUCCAACUUGCUAAUAUUCCACUUCACAUUUUCUGGCCGGUGAAAGCCGAGAAGUCAGGCAGUUACUUAAUUAUGAAGCUGGCUUUUGGUAGUGGUGUGUGUGUGUGUUUCUUCUCUGCUAACUUGAGGAAUGAACAGAAGGCUUCUCUACUGUGGGGAAACGUGGUCAGCAGCAUGCCCCUAUGAUCGCUCUAGGUGUGCAGUCAGAAAAGAGAUGAACAAAGGUCGUUAUCUUCAAAACACACGAGUGAAGAACAUUCAGCUCAGCUGUGAGCGCCUUUCCUAGCAUGCCCAGGGACUAGGGUUUCAUCUACACUAUAAAUAUAAAACUGCUACGGCUUGAGGUGAACUCAAUCAAAGUGUACUCCGUCGUGUAUGGAACUGUCACCGUGGAGCCCACUGCGGUACAAAGUCAGCUUGUACUAAGAAUUAAGAUACGGAAGAUACAGUACUCAGGCUUCCCCUCCUGGCUCUAGUCUGACAAGCAGGACUAAACGUCGUGGAGCUCAAGUAUAAAUUCCAGCAGAAACACAGCAUGCAGGACAGCUAGAUGGAAACGAAGGCUCAAAGUGAUACAUGGAGUGAAUAAAAGAACCCCAAAGCGGAUCCUACCUCAAAGGAUGAGCACAGUGUAGGGAAGGCCGCAGAAGGAACAUUUGUAAGCUAAUCCCUCAGCCUACACUUCCCUUCUGUCUGUAGGUUUGAUGUUCUCGUCUUUGUUUAUUUCCUAUUAUCUUUGCCCUUUUCUGGAGAUAAGUGCUUUGAAAUACUAGACAGGAAAAGCAUAUUAAUAGAGACGGAAAAUCAACAGAAUAUUCAAAUAACUCUAAUGCCUAACAUAAUCUCCCCUCUUGAGGAACUAGAGACAAAUGCUCAGGUCACAGCAGCCAUUUCAAAACGCAGUUCCCAAGCAAAGGCAGGAGUGAGCAGUGCACAACAAAGUAACUGUGCUGCAGAGAGGACUCUGUGGGGAAGAAGCCUGAGCUCCGCAGCCCAGCACCCAGGGUGGGAGGGCCUUGAUCACUCCAGCACUGGAGAAACCCUGGGGCUCAGUGGGAAGCCAGUUUAGCUGAGCCAGAGAGCUCCAGGUUCCUUACAAGAAUCUGCCUCAAAACAAAAGGCAGAGAGUGAUUGAGGAAGGCACCUGACAUUGACCUCCAGACUUGCACACGUAGGUGUGCACACAGAUGGUCAGAAGAAAAACAAGGUAGGAGAUGUGCAGGCAACAAGCAAGAAAAUAGUCUAUGGGGGGGGGGUUCUCCUGUCUGUCUACAUUAUAAGCUAGUUACCUAGAAUGAGUUUCUACCUCUGGGUGAUGUACUCCUCCUUACUCUCCUGCCCUGCUGAUUAUUUUGUUUCUCCAUGUCUUGAUGUAGUCUCAUCACCCUGAAAAUCCCUAACUUCCCAUUUUCUCUGAUCAUCAAGAGAGUGUUUUAGUCUCUCUACUUAUAAUUUGCGAUGUGUGCAGUGAUACUGUAUACAGACCCACGUUUAGUCGUGACACUUUAUUUUUCUUUUCCAGAUUUAUAAAUUGGUAUAUCUGAGUGUUUUCCCUGCAUGCAUGUCCAUGAACCUCAUGUACGCCUCAUGCCAAUCAAGGUCAGAAGAGAGAGUCACUUCCCACGGAACUGGAGCAACAGACAGUUGUGAGCCACCAUGUGGGUGCUGGGAAUUGAAUCUGGUUCCCUCUGGAAGAACAGCCAGUGGUCUCAAUCACAGAGCCAGCUAUCCAGCUUCUAUCCGGGGACCCCCUUGCCUCAGUCUGACUUUCCUGCCUGGCAACAUCUUUAUGACUCUUAAAUGAUCCAAACAGACUACCUGAGAAAGAUUCUAAUCUCUGUUACCAGUGGUCAGGGAAUGGGUCAGGGGUUCCCAGGUUCUCGGCCUUUUAUGCAAAGGAUUGAAAAUAGGACUCACAUAUAUUUGAAAAAGUAGCAAAUAAAAACUUUAUUCAGAGUGAACAGAUAGUACAGACCAGAAAGGGAAAUAUUGUCAUGACUCAGUGAGUCACCCCAGUGAGCAUGUUGAAGGGUCCCAAUUACUUCUCUUUAUGGAGUUCAGCAAAAGGAGGAACUGCACACUAAGGGGUGAAGCUUGGCUCAUUCUCUAUUUUGGUUGAUAGAUUAGAUCACACAGACAUUUUCCUACUUGACUUUACUUUCCCAGAAUAUACUGGAUUUUAAUCACAUGCAUACCCAAUUAUGCAUAGAUAUAAGAUGGUAAAAAGGGGGUUCUCCCUAAAAGGUUCCCACACUUUUACCUUGUUGCCUAUGCACCUAAAACCAGUUCAAACUGGGUCAGCUGUUGAUUUUUUUUUCCUGUUGGAUAUGUUGGUAAUACACUCAAAUAGAAACUGUCUCAAUGUCCUUUUUACUAGGGGUGGAGACAACUAUCAUUGUUUAGAGAUGCGAGUCUGUGUAGCCAGGUGCUUGCCUGCCUCAACAAGACCCCAGCCCACACACCAUACCUAGCAAGAUGUAGGCAAAAUAAUUACCAUGACGCAGAAGGGUUCAUGUAGGUACUACAAGAUACAGUCACUAAGGAGCGUGCUAUUGAAAGGAGUACAAAAGGGUGCUUAUUUUUUCUGGAGCCUCAUUCAUUAAGUUCUUAUCUUCAUUCUUUAGCAAUCUCCCUUCUGUAUGGGAGCCAAAGGGAAUGGAGGAGUGUGUCCAAGGAAUGAUGCCCACGCAGAGCCUAAAAUAACCCCAAGUAGCUUUGCCUGCACAGAGGGAAUAAAGGCCAACCACCAGGAGAAUUGUAUUAGAAUACAUUCAACAUCACAGGCCCUCUGAAGACCCCUGCGGCUCUCCCUAGGGAACUUGCUCUCUCUUCCAUAACAGGACCUUUCCUGAUGCAAAGGCACUCAAUAAGCCAAACAAUGUAAUAAUUCACACAAGUUAAGCUUAUUAUAUGGAGAAGUCCAGGAUGGAUAGCAAUAGUCUAAAUGGCGGAUGAGCAACCAUCCUUGGAGACAGGCUUUGAAAAAAAUCAAAACUGGUACUGGAAUGCUGUAAGCUGGCAAAGUGCUUGCCCACAGCACUGGAUUUGAUCCCCAGCACCAGAUAACCGUAAUGGUGCAUGCCUGUAAUCCCAGAACUCAGAUGCAAUAGAUUCAGGAGCUCAAGGUCAGUCUCUGCUAUAGAGCAAUACAUAUGUCAUAUACAUAUGUGCCAUAUAUCC
rnacentral:sRNA from 1 species